GGCUGGUCUGAAGGUAGCAAAUUGUCUUGAUUGAUUUUUCAUAGUCAGUUAUAGAUUGAACUCCUCAUUCUACUCUUUCCCCACUUCUCACUGCUGUACUUGACUAGUCUUUA
rnacentral:Y_RNA from 1 species